rnacentral:tRNA from 1 species
CGGGGAGUAGCUCAGUCUGGUAGAGUGCUUGCUUUGGGAGCAAGAUGUCGCAAGUUCGAAUCCUGUCUCCCCGACCA